UCCAAGCACUUCCGGGUCAUCUCCAUAGGAAAGGGAAGUCCUUUUCGACCGCUCGUAUUUUGUAUUCUAUUGUGGGUUUUUAUCCACAACAGUAUCCAUUUGUUAAUAAACAUGUCACCGUGCGGCCCAACUUUGGAAGAACAGCUUUCGUCCAUAAUGGAUUUACUUGCGAAAGGUGCUGUAUCUGAGAUUAGCCAACUGUUCUUAGAAGGCUCGGCUACGAUUCGCUUGCAAUUAACUCGGAGCAUGAAAGAAAACCAAGCGCUGAGGAGGAGAAUGAUGGUGAUGAGGAGUAAGAUAUUUUCUUUGCGGCUUCAAACGAGAUCAAAUGCAUCGUGUGCAGCCAGACAUUUUGCCCUGGCUCGAGCCAUCGUCUGCAAACCACAGACUAAACCACUGGGAAAUGAAGACUGCGAUGACUGUGGAGACCGCAGCACACAGCGCGGCCCCACCUCAGAUGGUCUGCAUGUGGACGCCCCUGGCUCCUCCCACAUGUCCAGUCACAGCGAGGAGCUGAGGAUACUGAGCGUCCACGGAAAAGGGGAGGGCCCACUGGCGCUACACGUGGUCAAGAGCCUGGAGCGCGGCGAGCAGCUGGUCCGCGGCGAGGAGCUGACUGGGCAGGUUGGAAAUCAUCUUCUCAUUCACCAUCCAAAAGAGAGGCGUCCUCUGCUACAACUCCAACACACACCCAUAGAAAGCACACACCUUUAUGAUUCAAUGUGUCGUUAGCGGGGAUUGACUAUUUUUGGAUUGACUAUUGAACUAUUUUGUGCUAAUGAAAGAUUAUGGCUGCAUCCGAAUACUCGUACUUGCAUACUAUAUAGUAUGCAUUUUGUAGUAUGCGAAAAAUCUAGCGCGUCCGAAUACUCAGUAUGCAUUCUGUAGUACGGAAGUCGUUUCCGAAUGCAUACUACCGCCAAAGUGAACCACGGACCACACUACGCUAUCCCACAAUGCAACCGGAGUCUGGUAACAAA